UAUCUUAGGUAAACGCUGCAUAUAAUAAUGUAGAGGAAAGUCCAUACUCACAUAGUCUGCGAUUGACUAUAGUGUUCGUGCUAGGGGAAACGAUAACCCUAGGUAGGUUAUAAACCUAACGGCGACGAAAAUGAAAAGUUCUUUCAUGAGUAGUUAUAAAGUGCCAUAGAGACGAUGCCUUUUAGGAAUAAAAGGAGUGGAACGCGGUAAACCCCACGAGUGAGAAACCCAAAAUUGGUAGGGGAGUCUUUACAAAUGAAAUGAAAAGAGUAAAGGAGCAUUAGCUAGAUAAAUGUUUACCACCUUAUAUUAAGGUACAGAAAAUGGCUUAUUAGA
rfam:Clostridium sp. CAG:628 genomic scaffold, scf35